CACGUAGGGCGCAAGCGUUGUCCGGAAUCAUUGGGCGUAAAGCGCGUGUAGGCGGCUUCGUCAGUCCGUUGUGAAAGUCCAGGGCUCAACCCUGGAAUGCCGAUGGAUACUGCGGAGCUAGAGUCCGGAAGAGGCGAGUGGAAUUCCUGGUGUAGCGGUGAAAUGCGCAGAUAUCAGGAGGAACACCAAUGGCGAAGGCAGCUCGCUGGGACGGCACUGACGCUGAGACGCGAAAGCGUGGGGAGCAAACAGG
rnacentral:rRNA from 1 species